CAAUAAGCGGAGGAAAAGAAACCAACAGGGAUUGCCUUAGUAACUGCGAGUGAAGCGGCAAAAGCUCAAAUUUGAAAUCGGUGCCUACCAAUCGCAUCGAGUUGUAAUUUGGAGGGACAACUUCGGGCUGAACCACACCGCAAGUUCCUUGGAACAGGACGUCAUAGAGGGUGAGAAUCCCGUGUCUUGGUGUCGGGUCAACCCAUGUGAAGUGUCUCCGACGAGUCGAGUUGUUUGGGAAUGCAGCUCAAAAUGGGUGGUAAAUUUCAUCUAAAGCUAAAUAUUGGCGAGAGACCGAUAGCGCACAAGUAGAGUGAUCGAAAGAUGAAAAGCACUUUGAAAAGAGAGUUAAAAAGUACGUGAAAUUGUUGAAAGGGAAGCGCUUGCGACCAGACUCGAUCUUUGGUGAUCAGCCGGGCUCCGGUCCGGUGCCCUCACCAUUGAUUGGGCCAGCAUCGGUUCCGACGGCGGGAUAAAAGGAGGCGGAAUGUAGCUCCCUUCGGGGAGUGUUAUAGCCACCUUCACAAUGCCGCCAGUUGGGACCGAGGACCGCGUUUCGGCUAGGAUGCUGGUGUAAUGGUCUUAAGCGACCCGUCUUGAAACACGG
rnacentral:rRNA from 1 species